GGCUCUGUGGGGUCUUCAUUCUCUAUCCAUGGAGGCUGCAAUUGGGCUCCCUCGAGGUCAGCAGAGAGGGGUGAGCACCCAGAAAGCCUGGCUGGUCAGGGAGGGACAGGGUGAACGGCAGCCACAGCUGCAGGGAGCAGGACCUGCUCCCAGGCAGGGCCCCUCCGUCUUCCCGUUGGCCUCCUGCUGCAGUGAUACCAGUGCUGCUGCCACCUCCGUGACGCUGGGCUGCCUGGUCCAGGGCUACUUCCCUGAGCCAGUGACCGUGACCUGGGACGCAGGGGCCCUGAACAAAAGCAUCGUGACCUUCCCUGCCACCCUCCACUCAACCUCCGGCCUCUACACCACCUCCAGCCAGUUGACCGUCUCAGGUGCAUGGGCCAAACAGAAGUUCACCUGCAGCGUGGCCCAUGCCGGGUCCACCCCCAUCAACAAGACCUUACUCGCAUGCGCCAUAAACGUCACCCAGCCCACCGUGAAGCUCUUCCACUCUUCCUGUGACCCCCUCGGUAACACCCAUGCCAUCAUCCAGCUCCUGUGCCUCAUCUCCGACUACACCCCAGGUGACAUUGAGGUCACCUGGCUGGUAGACGGACAGAAGACAGAGAACAUGUUCCCGUACACCAGUCCCCCCAAGCAGGAGGGCAAGCUGGCCUCAUGCUACAGCCAGCUCAACAUCACCCAGGGCCAGUGGACAUCCCAGCGUACCUUCACCUGCCAGGUCAGCUACCUGGGCCACACCUACGAGGGCAAUGCCCGAAACUGCCCAGAAUCUGAGCCCCGCGGCGUGAGCGUAUACCUGAUCCCACCCAGUCCCCUCGACCUGUACGUCCACAAGUCGCCAAAGAUCACCUGCCUGGUGGUGGACCUGGCCAGCGUGGAGGGCAUGAACGUGGAGUGGUCCCGGGAGAGCGAUGCCCUUGAGAAGAAGGCCACAGAGAACCACAAGCAGCACUUCAACAUGACUUUCACCGUCACGUCCACCCUGCCAGUGGAUGCCAACGACUGGAUCGAGGGCAUAACCUACCAGUGCAAGGUGACCCACCCACAGCUGCCCAAGGACAUCGUGCGUACCAUCUCCAAGGCCGCCGGCAAGCGUGCUAUCCCCGAGGUCUACCUGUUCCUGCCGCAUGAGGAGAACCAGGGGACCAUGGUCACGCUCACCUGCCUGAUCCAGAACUUCUACCCCGCGGACAUCUCUGUGCGGUGGCUGCAGGACAACGCACUGAUCCAGACCGGCCAGCACGCCACCACGCAGCCACUCGAGGCCAACAGCUCCAGCCCUGCCUUCUUUGUCUUCAGCCGCCUGGUGGUCAGCCGGGCGGACUGGGAGAAGAGGAGCAAAUUCACCUGCCAGGUGGUCCACGAGGCACUACCCGGCUCCAGGACCCUCAACAAAUCGGUGUCCAAAGACCCGGGUAAUUGAUGCCCCCGCCCCCUCCCAGGGCUCCAUCCUGCUGGGAAAGGGGGAGGGGCCGCUGACCUCCUGUCCAAUGUGGUCAAUAAACACUCCGUGCCUGCUCCGA